UACGAAGGGGGCUAGCGUUGCUCGGAAUCACUGGGCGUAAAGGGUGCGUAGGCGGGUCUUAAGUCAGGGGUGAAAUCCUGGAGCUCAACUCCAGAACUGCCUUUGAUACUGAGGAUCUUGAGUUCGGGAGAGGUGAGUGGAACUGCGAGUGUAGAGGUGAAAUUCGUAGAUAUUCGCAAGAACACCAGUGGCGAAGGCGGCUCGCUGGCCCGAUACUGACGCUGAGGCACGAAAGCGUGGGGAGCAAACAGG
rnacentral:rRNA from 1 species